rnacentral:lncRNA from 1 species
GCCCUGUUUAUAGCAAGCAGGCGUCAUGCAAUGUUGCUUCAUUCUGUUCAUUUCUUCUGAUUAUUCAGUUAUUUCACCAGAGUGCUAGACAGCUUGAUCCUCUUACCAAGCCAAAAUAAUCAAUAACAAGCCGUGACAUGAAUGAGACAAUCGAUUGAACGGAGGACCCGCUUUAUCUGGUGAAGUGCUGCACGUACCAGGCUGGAGUAGAUGGCGGAGGGGUCGGCGCUAUACGGAAAGUAGUUGGCGUAGUUCUGCCCGGCUGCGGCCGCUGCUGCUGCGUAAGGGGAGCCGUACAUCCCGAGCGCGGCGUUGAGCUCCGUCCGUGUACUCGCCAGCAGCCGGUUCUCAUAGGAGGGACAGCAGAAGGAGGCUGCGGUCUGCGAUGCGCUCGAUCCUUCUGUCACCGACCUGGAUAUCGAAUCGCAGCAAGUCGUACUGGGGGUUGCCGACACGAAAAACUGCAUGAAGAAAAUUGUGGAUAAACAUGACUUUUUUAUUUGCGUUUCAAAGCAGGCGUUUCCGUAGUUUGAAAAAGAAUUAAGACACUGUCCCGCUGAUGCGCAAAUGAACUGAAGAGGAAUCUACAGGACCCUUGCUCGCAUCUGUCUGGCCGAUCAGAGGUCCGACCUGAUGUUAAUUGCGAUGAUGUUUCCAUCUCUCUCUAUUAGAGAGAGGGCCAGUCCCGGCAGACGUGAAGAGAACCUCUGGCAGGUCAACAGAAAACUGAUUGAUGCGUAUCUCGGGACCUACGCGACCAUUACGAGAAAUGCGUAAUUGCAUCAAUUAACAAAUGGAUAUGGCCUUGUUUAACCAGCGAGUUACACCGUGAAAAUAUGCCUUUGAGGUGAAAUUAGACGAUCAGAAUGGAACUGAGAGAGAGAGAGAGAGAGAGAGAGAGAGAGAGAGAGAGAGAGAGAGAGAGAGAAAUUAGCUGAAUCUCUCAAGUCUAAUUAUACGGUAGUGGGAGGCGACGGGAACAGCAUUCUAAUUGAAGGAUGCGUACUUGAAAGGGAUGGUAGAAAUAUCGCUCCCUCACGCGGAAUAAGUCUGGAUAAAGGGUAACACAUGCAGUUUUAUUAAAUGUUUUAGACAAUAUAAUUAGAAGACCCCAUUUACUCUCCCUCUCUCUCUUUCUCUCCCUUGGUUUCUAUUGUUUUUUUUUUAUUUUAAGCUAAUGACAUUGCAUCAUUGUAUAGACACCACCUACCCAAGACAAACAUGUUUUAAUACUAUAGAUUUAGUUUAUACCAUUAUUUUAUUGCCGUUAGAGCCUAAGAAAGUUUUGCUUGUUGAUCUGAAAUGUCUAGGACACGUGGUCCUACAGUCAAGACACACUUAUCUAAAGUACUCAUCUAAAGGUUUAACUUCAUUGUGAAGUAUUGUUAUAUAAUUAAGUCUAUAUGUGACUUAAAAGAGCUGAAUGGCUGUCCUCGCGCAUCAUCAUCGUUCACGAGCAGCAGAGCAGCAGUGCUUGCGCGGUCGCUUCCAAACGCGUGGAAAUCCGUGACCAUUUGAUCGUUUUCACUGAUAAUAUGAGAGGCAUAGUUCAGUGACCCUGCUUUGAAAGGACGAGAGUCCUGUCCCAGAUGAUCUCUUUGCUAUUACAGGCUCACUCUUCGAGAGGCGCCAGAGAGCUGCGAGUAAGUGAACGGCGCCGAUGGAGCAGGUAAACCGUAAUGACGAGAGUGUUCAGGCCCAUCAAGAGUCGCGUUCAGUUCAGGUCACCGCCGUCCCUGUAUGUUCUGUGGCGAGUGUGUUACAAAGAAAACAGGGAAAAUACAGAUGUUUUGCUUAUGAGCUAUUUUAUUUAUCUGAAGGAAGUCAAUUAAACUGGCUAUUUGCCCCAAAAUAAAACUUUAGUCAUUUACUUAUAAUCAUGUCGUUCCAAACCGUUUGACUGUAUUUUUGUAUCGCGAACAGCUAAAGACUGUUUUGAAAAACUUUUGUCAAAAUAUAUCCCACAGAAGAUUUGCUUUAAAAAAAAUGAAUAUUUUGUGUAAUUUUUUCCUGUGAGUUAUCCCAUGCCAUUAAUUUGCAUUUAAGCUACUCUUUGUUCCUGCCAUAUAUUGUCUUACUUCAUAAACUCUACAAUGAAAAAAUAGAAGGAUAACACAAUGCAAUUUUAUAGACUAUAACACAUUUUGACAAAGUGUUGACUAAACAAAUUGACCCUAUUAAAUUGUGACAGUCAGUCUGUCUGUCUAUUCGUCCGUUCUUCCGUUUGUCUGUCUGUCUUGACUAGAUAUUUGAAUCUAAAACUCAAAUCUAAUAAAUCUAUUAAAUCCACUAAGUUGCUUUUCAAGUAAGCUUAUAAUUAUUUUUCCAUUAUUGCACAUUCAAAACCUUAAAUAUGUAAGUUAGACCCCAAGUGUCAAUCAAGGUGGAAAAUAUUGAGGAUUUUCACAAUUCAAUAAUCCGCGCUUAUUUAUAUAUAGAUCACUUAUUGUAGUGACUUUCCAACAAAUCUCUCAUGUUACAAGCACAAUCAGAGAUAGAAGAAUCAAAAGGAAGGUCAGACUCUCCUAUGUGAUAGUUUACUGUAGUUUCUCGAAAGCCUUUUGCAAGGGCACACAUGAUAGCCCAAGUGCAUACGGGCAGCCUCAUCCAUAAUGCAUGUGGAGCAGCUCCUGAUGAUCAGUACUUGGGGUGGAGGGGCUCGUAAGUUAAAUCAACCUUAAUUGAAGAGGUAGAACACAUUGACCAAUCCUUACGCCUAUCACUUUUCAUCCUAUUUUUGAUCUUAAAAGCAGUUUUUUUUAGUGUGAUACACUUUAAAAAAAUGCUGGGUUAUUUCCACUCUAGGUUUGUGCAUAUUUUCCACAAAUAUGAGUAUGGGUUGUUGUAAAUGGAGCUUUUUCAUAAUUUCUUCAAAAGUUUGUCUGUAAAUAUUUUAUCCAAAUCAAAAUUACCCAGAAAUAAACCAAAUAAUUGAAAC